rnacentral:lncRNA from 9 species
AUACUCCAAUCUAGCUAGAGAGCUCAAGAGCAAGAAACCUGAUUCACAUGAGUAAAACUUCUCUCUCAUCCAGUGAUAUUGCCUUGGGUGGUAUCUUGCCCCUGUGUUAACAGAGUGAAUACAAAGACUUUCAAAAUCUUUGUGUUUCAAAAACACAAAGGAUUUAAAAAUCCUGCCAACGCAACUUGAAACCAAGUUAAGGAUUUUCUUUGGGCCACGAGUGAAAGACGUGAAACAAUUUCUUUCCUGAGAUGAUGACCUACCCAAGAGAUUGCUGUAGAAAAUUACCUAUAAUGAAUGAAAAUCACAAAGAAUCUCAACCCAAAGUAGACCACGUGGACAACAACUUCGCAACUUGCCUUCUCAAGCUCUUAGUGAUGGUUCUUAUUUUUUAUGUAUUCCGGGAGGAAUGUUUUGGAAAUAAGAAAAGAAAAGGAAAUGAUCAACUUAAGGAAAAUGAUCAACUUGGGGAGGAAAAUGAUCAACUGAAGGAAAAUGAUCAACUUGGGGAGGAAAAUGGUAAACUUUUAUGACUCUUUGCAAAAUAUGAUCUCCCUAUUAACCGUUUCAUAAGAAGUCUUAUAUUACUCUUUUUACUUUUCAGAUCAACUUAGGAAGGAAAAUGGUAAACUUUUAUGACUCUACAAAAUAUGAUCUCCCUAUUAACCAUUUCAUAAGAAGUCUUAUAUUACUCUUUUUAUUUUUCAGAUCAACUUAGGAAGGAAAAUGGUAAACUUUUAUGACUCUUUACAAAAUACGAUCUCCCUAUUAACUGUUUCAUAAGAAGUCUUAUAAUACUCUUUUUGUUUUUCGGAUCAACUUAAGGAAAUAAAUGGUAAACUUUAAUGACCAUUUAUGUGAUUUUUCUAUAGCGAUUUUUCCUGCUUCCUUGCUUUUCCAUUCCUCCCUCUGUAUCAUUUUCUCUUUUGUGAUUUUUAUUCAUUCUUACUAUAUUACAUCUUCCAUUGCUUCUUUCUCUCUUUGUUCUUCUUCAUCAGUUAACUCACUUUUCCUACUGACCCUUCUCUUUAUCUAAUGCAUUAUUUUUCUUACUGUCUCCCUGAUGCUAACAAUAAUAACUCCUUCUCAUGGCUCUGAGAUGAAUGAAAUUCUAAUACGAAAAGAUAUUUGAAAGUGCUCUCAUAGUGCUUUUGUGUCCACAAGCUGAUUUUAAGAAAAAUUCAAAAGCUCUUCUAUGCAAGACACUUUUAAGAAGUACAGUCGAUUGUUCCUUGUAGAGCACACCAUUGUUCUCUACCUUGAGAUUGAAGCCUCACCUGGCUGGACCAGGAGUGGAGAUUUAUGGCAUAGUGAUAUGGAGACUUUGCUUUGCAUUUUAACAGACCUGGGUUCAAUCACUGAUCUGUUCAUUGACCAGCAGAAACUUCUCCAUGUUAUUGACCCCUUUUAUUCUCAGAUCUUUCUUUUGUGAACAGAGAGCACUAAUUUACAAUUAUUUUGUAAUAUUAUCAGUAUUACAUAAAGCCUUAGCAAAUAUUUAAGUCAUUGGAAACACCAAAUAAUUGUAGCUUCUUUUGCACAGAUGAUAUAGAGCAUGACAGCAUUGCAGAGGAUGAUAACCAUGAAUAUCAGCAUUCCAAAUUAGAUUAAAAACAAUACUUCAUGGGGGAUUUGAUAAUUUCCCUCUUGAAUUUUACCUGUAAAAUUAUUUGUCUAUUUAGCACGUAAUAUGUUUUCUUAUUUUCUUUCUUUUUUGGGGAAACAUGUGCUGGAGAAAACUGAGGAUUUUAAAACCUUGAUGAGUUAAUUUAUGUCUUUGUAUAUAAUCCUUCCAAGCAGUUUAAUUUUUCUUUUAAAAUAUUUACUUAAAAAAAAAA